UAGGGUAAUAGCACACGGUGGUUUACCCAGGUUUGAGACUCUGUGGAGAGAUAGUACCCCUAUUCCUGCAUGUCUGUAUAUGAGGUAUAUUGCUAUUACAUGGUUGCUCCUCGAGCUGUAUUGGAGGAGAAAGAGGAGGCCGAGUGCUCCUUACCUUGGCCUCAUGUCUAUGUGUGAGAGCAUGAGGGAGUGAGAGAAUGAGAUUGGAGCCAAG
rnacentral:lncRNA from 1 species